AUGGCGAGUUUGAUCUAUGAUUUCACAUUCAUGGAUGUUGAUAAGAUCCUUCCAUUUAGUAGCACCUUAGGAUGGCAUAGCCUUAACGUUAAUGGCGAGGUUCAAAAGAGGAAAGGCUUGCGGUGGAUACCUAGGCACCCAGAGACGAGGAAGGGCGUAGCAAGCGACGAAAUGCUUCGGGGAGUUGAAAAUAAGCAUAGAUCCGGAGAUUCCCAAAAAGGUCAACCUUUUAAACUGCUUACAGACCACAUCAAAGAAUCCUGGUUGCUUAAUCCAGAAAUCUUCGAAAUAAAAUAA
rnacentral:rRNA from 1 species